AUUAGAGUGCCAGAAUAAAUGGAUUAUCUUGAUGUGAUAAAGAUGGAAUUUCCCUCUAAUA
rnacentral:tRNA from 1 species